rnacentral:rRNA from 1 species
CCCCUAGAUGUUCUGGGCCGCACGCGCGCUACACUGAACAGUUCAACAAGUCUUAACCUUGGCCGAUAGGUCUGGGUAAUCUUUGAACGCUGUUCGUGAUUGGGAUAGACCUUUGCAAUUAUGGGUCUUCAACGAGGAAUUCCUAGUAAACGCAAGUCAUCAGCUUGCAUUGAUUACGUCCCUGCCCUUUGUACACACCGCCCGUCGCACCUACCGAUUGAAUGGUCCGGUGAAAUCUCGGGACGGCGACUCGGUCGCUUGCAUCCGACUGCUGAAACUUGAUUAAACCAUNUNAUUUAGNGGAAGGUGAANUCGUANCA